CACGUAGGGUGCGAGCGUUGUCCGGAAUUAUUGGGCGUAAAGAGCUCGUAGGCGGUUUGUCGCGUCUGCUGUGAAAACUCGGGGCUUAACUCCGGGCCUGCAGUGGGUACGGGCAGACUAGAGUGCGGUAGGGGAGACUGGAAUUCCUGGUGUAGCGGUGAAAUGCGCAGAUAUCAGGAGGAACACCGGUGGCGAAGGCGGGUUGCUGGGCCGACACUGACGCUGAUGCGCGAAAGCCAGGGGAGCGAACGGG
rnacentral:rRNA from 1 species